rnacentral:snRNA from 1 species
AUGCUCACUUCAGCAUAUACACUAAAAUUGGACAAAACAAGAUUAGUGUGGCACCUGUGCAAGGAUGAUAAUACAAAUUCAUGAAGUGUUCUGUAUUUUU